ACUAAGCCAUGCAUGUCCAAGUAUGAACGCUCGUACUGUGAAACUGCGAAUGGCUCAUUAAAUCAGUUAUAGUUUAUUUGAUGGUCGCUUUGCUACAUGGAUAACUGUGGUAAUUCUAGAGCUAAUACAUGCACAAAGUCCCGACUUUUGGAAGGGGCGUAUUUAUUAGAUGGAAAACCAGCGCGGGUUACCCUUCUGGGUGCCCGGUACCUGGGCGAUUCAUGAUAACUGCUCGAAUCGCACGGCCCUGGCGCCGGCGAUGGUCCAUUCAAAUUUCUGCCCUAUCAACAUCCGAUGGUACGGUAGUGGCCUACCAUGGUUGCAACGGGUGACGGAGAAUUAGGGUUCGAUUCCGGAGAGGGAGCCUGAGAAACGGCUACCACAUCCAAGGAAGGCAGCAGGCGCGCAAAUUACCCAAUCCCGACUCGGGGAGGUAGUGACAAUAAAUAACAAUGAAGGGCUCUUGUAGUCUGGCAAUUGGAAUGAGUCCAAUUUAAACCCCUUAACGAGGAACAAUUGGAGGGCAAGUCUGGUGCCAGCAGCCGCGGUAAUUCCAGCUCCAAUAGCGUAGAUUAAAGUUGUUGCAGUUAAAAAGCUCGUAGUUGGAUUUCGGGGCAGCCCGGCCGGUCCGCCGCGAGGCGAGUACUGGUCGGGCGCCCUUCCUCUCGAAGGCUUCGACUGCUCUUGAUUGUGGUGGUCGAGGAGUUCGGGACGUUUACUUUGAAAAAAUUAGAGUGUUCAAGGCAGGCCUACGCCUGAAUACAUUAGCAUGGAAUAAUGGAAGAGGACCUCGGUCCUAUUUUGUUGGUUUCCAGGGCCGAAGUAAUGAUCAAGAGGGACAGUUGGGGGCAUUCGUAUAAAAUUGUCAGAGGUGAAAUUCUCGGAUUUAUGAAAGACGAACAAGUGCGAAAGCAUUUGCCAAGGAUGUUUUCAUUAAUCAAGAACGAAAGUUGGGGGUUCGAAGACGAUCAGAUACCGUCGUAGUCCCAACCAUAAACUAUGCCGACUAGGGAUCGGCGGAUGUUAAUGUCUGACUCCGUCGGCACCUUG
rnacentral:rRNA from 1 species